AUGUGUAUAACUUUGAAACCAAAAUGGUUGAAGAGUCAAUACACAAAAUUUGAUGACGAAGAUUCUGGCAAUAAAAUGUCAGAGCUAGUUGAAAGUUUUUCAGAGUUACAACCAAGCCUGAGACGUCUUUUUCAGGUCGGGGGCUUGGUAUGGUGUUUGGAUUUGCUUGAUGAAGAUAAAGUGGAUGUGAAGCAUUGGGCAUGGUGCAUGAGAGUUUGGCAAUGCAAUUUGUAG